rnacentral:rRNA from 1 species
UACAGAGGUCCCAAGCGUUGUUCGGAUUCACUGGGCGUAAAGGGUGCGUAGGUGGUGGGGUAAGUCGGAUGUGAAAGCUCGGAGCUCAACUCCGAAAUGGCAUUGGAAACUACCCUGCUAGAGGAUUGGAGGGGGGACUGGAAUACUUGGUGUAGCAGUGAAAUGCGUAGAUAUCAGGUGGAACACCAGUGGCGAAGGCGGGUCCCUGGACAAUACCUGACACUGAGGCACGAAAGCUAGGGGAGCAAACAGG